rnacentral:rRNA from 1 species
AUUGAACGCUGGCGGCAGGCCUAACACAUGCAAGUCGAGCGGAUGAAGGGAGCUUGCUCCUGGAUUCAGCGGCGGACGGGUGAGUAAUGCCUAGGAAUCUGCCUGGUAGUGGGGGAUAACGUCCGGAAACGGGCGCUAAUACCGCAUACGUCCUGAGGGAGAAAGUGGGGGAUCUUCGGACCUCACGCUAUCAGAUGAGCCUAGGUCGGAUUAGCUAGUUGGUGGGGUAAAGGCCUACCAAGGCGACGAUCCGUAACUGGUCUGAGAGGAUGAUCAGUCACACUGGAACUGAGACACGGUCCAGACUCCUACGGGAGGCAGCAGUGGGGAAUAUUGGACAAUGGGCGAAAGCCUGAUCCAGCCAUGCCGCGUGUGUGAAGAAGGUCUGCGGAUUGAAAAGCACUUUAAGUUGGGAGGAAGGGCAGUAAGUUAAUACCUUGCUGUUUUGACGUUACCAACAGAAUAAGCACCGGCUAACUUCGU